GAUGAACGCUGGCGGCGUGCCUAAUACAUGCAAGUCGAGCGAACAGACGAGGAGCUUGCUCCUUUGACGUUAGCGGCGGACGGGUGAGUAACACGUGGAUAACCUACCUAUAAGACUGGGAUAACUUCGGGAAACCGGAGCUAAUACCGGAUAACAUGUUGAACCGCAUGGUUCAACAGUGAAAGACGGUCUUGCUGUCACUUAUAGAUGGAUCCGCGCCGCAUUAGCUAGUUGGUAAGGUAACGGCUUACCAAGGCAACGAUGCGUAGCCGACCUGAGAGGGUGAUCGGCCACACUGGAACUGAGACACGGUCCAGACUCCUACGGGAGGCAGCAGUAGGGAAUCUUCCGCAAUGGGCGAAAGCCUGACGGAGUAACGCCGCGUGAGUGAAGAAGGUCUUCGGAUCGUAAAACUCUGUUAUUAGGGAAGAACAAAUGUGUAAGUAACUAUGCACGUCUUGACGGUACCUAAUCAGAAAGCCACGGCUAACUACGUG
rnacentral:rRNA from 1 species